rnacentral:tRNA from 1 species
ACCUAGCUGGCUUAGUUGGUAGAGCAUGUGACUCUUGAUCUCAGAGUUGUGGGUUCAAGCCCCAUGCUAAGCA